UUAAAUUGAAGAGUUUGAUCAUGGCUCAGAUUGAACGCUGGCGGCAGGCCUAACACAUGCAAGUCGAACGGUAACAGGAAUCAGCUUGCUGAUUCGCUGACGAGUGGCGGACGGGUGAGUAAUGUCUGGGAAACUGCCUGAUGGAGGGGGAUAACUACUGGAAACGGUAGCUAAUACCGCAUAACGUCGCAAGACCAAAGAGGGGGACCUUCGGGCCUCUUGCCAUCGGAUGUGCCCAGAUGGGAUUAGCUAGUAGGUGGGGUAACGGCUCACCUAGGCGACGAUCCCUAGCUGGUCUGAGAGGAUGACCAGCCACACUGGAACUGAGACACGGUCCAGACUCCUACGGGAGGCAGCAGUGGGGAAUAUUGCACAAUGGGCGCAAGCCUGAUGCAGCCAUGCCGCGUGUAUGAAGAAGGCCUUCGGGUUGUAAAGUACUUUCAGCGGGGAGGAAGGGAGUAAAGUUAAUACCUUUGCUCAUUGACGUUACCCGCAGAAGAAGCACCGGCUAACUCCGUGCCAGCAGCCGCGGUAAUACGGAGGGUGCAAGCGUUAAUCGGAAUUACUGGGCGUAAAGCGCACGCAGGCGGUUUGUUAAGUCAGAUGUGAAAUCCCCGGGCUCAACCUGGGAACUGCAUCUGAUACUGGCAAGCUUGAGUCUCGUAGAGGGGGGUAGAAUUCCAGGUGUAGCGGUGAAAUGCGUAGAGAUCUGGAGGAAUACCGGUGGCGAAGGCGGCCCCCUGGACGAAGACUGACGCUCAGGUGCGAAAGCGUGGGGAGCAAACAGGAUUAGAUACCCUGGUAGUCCACGCCGUAAACGAUGUCGACUUGGAGGUUGUGCCCUUGAGGCGUGGCUUCCGGAGCUAACGCGUUAAGUCGACCGCCUGGGGAGUACGGCCGCAAGGUUAAAACUCAAAUGAAUUGACGGGGGCCCGCACAAGCGGUGGAGCAUGUGGUUUAAUUCGAUGCAACGCGAAGAACCUUACCUGGUCUUGACAUCCACGGAAGUUUUCAGAGAUGAGAAUGUGCCUUCGGGAACCGUGAGACAGGUGCUGCAUGGCUGUCGUCAGCUCGUGUUGUGAAAUGUUGGGUUAAGUCCCGCAACGAGCGCAACCCUUAUCCUUUGUUGCCAGCGGUCCGGCCGGGAACUCAAAGGAGACUGCCAGUGAUAAACUGGAGGAAGGUGGGGAUGACGUCAAGUCAUCAUGGCCCUUACGACCAGGGCUACACACGUGCUACAAUGGCGCAUACAAAGAGAAGCGACCUCGCGAGAGCAAGCGGACCUCAUAAAGUGCGUCGUAGUCCGGAUUGGAGUCUGCAACUCGACUCCAUGAAGUCGGAAUCGCUAGUAAUCGUGGAUCAGAAUGCCACGGUGAAUACGUUCCCGGGCCUUGUACACACCGCCCGUCACACCAUGGGAGUGGGUUGCAAAAGAAGUAGGUAGCUUAACCUUCGGGAGGGCGCUUACCACUUUGUGAUUCAUGACUGGGGUGAAGUCGUAACAAGGUAACCGUAGGGGAACCUGCGGUUGGAUCACCUCCUUACCUUAAAGAA
rnacentral:rRNA from 1 species